GGCCUCCCCAACCCCAGGCCCCCUUCUCGGCAAUUCCCGGGACCGGUCUGGCUUGUCCCCAGGUAAUCUGAGGGGAGACCAAGAAAUCAGUACGCUGAGAAGAGGAGUGGUGCUGCACAGGACCAUGGAGGACGGAUAGAGACGGACAGAUGGGUAGAACCUUGGAAGCAGCACAUGUGUGGAUUGCAGGAGUCCUUCUGCUUGUGUGGAGCCUGUGUAGACUGUGUGAGGCUAGAUGGGGGAGAGUGAGCAGAAGUGUGAUGGCGAGAGUCCUGUGAGCGUGCGUGUGUGAGCCUGUGUGAGGCUGUGGCUGUCUACUGUUUAUGGCCACCUGAAGCUUUCAUUUUCUAUGUCUGGAAAUUUCUUCCCUUCUGUGGUAUAAUAAAGAAUUUGACUGGC